GGUCUAGAAUCCAGUUUGUUAUAGAUCCCUGCAUGCACAGACAGUGAGUGGUCUAGAAUCCAGUUUGUUAUAGAUCCCUGCAUGCACAGACAGUGAGUGGUCUAGAAUCCAGUUUGUUAUAGAUCCCUGCAUGCACAGACAGUGAGCGGUCUAGAAUCCAGUUUGUUAUAGAUCCCUGCAUGCACAGACAGUGAGCGGUCUAGAAUCCAGUUUGUUAUAGAUCCCUGCAUGCACAGACAGUGAGCGGUCUAGAAUCCAGUUUGUUAUAGAUCCCUGCAUGCACAGACAGUGAGUGGUCUAGAAUCCAGUUUGUUAUAGAUCCCUGCAUGCACAGACAGUGAGAGGUCUAGAAUCCAGUUUGUUAUAGAUCCCUGCAUGCACAGACAGUGAGGGGUCUAGAAUCCAGUUUGUUAUAGAUCCCUGCAUGCACAGACAGUGAGCGGUCUAGAAUCCAGUUUGUUAUAGAUCCCUGCAUGCACAGACAGUGAGCGGUCUAGAAUCCAGUUUGUUAUAGAUCCCUGCAUGCACAGACAGUGAGCGGUCUAGAAUCCAGUUUGUUAUAGAUCCCUGCAUGCACAGACAGUGAGCGGUCUAGAAUCCAGUUUGUUAUAGAUCCCUGCAUGCACAGACAGUGAGUGGUCUAGAAUCCAGUUUGUUAUAGAUCCCUGCAUGCACAGACAGUGAGUGGUCUAGAAUCCAGUUUGUUAUAGAUCCCUGCAUGCACAGACAGUGAGUGGUCUAGAAUCCAGUUUGUUAUAGAUCCCUGCAUGCACAGACAGUGAGUGGUCUAGAAUCCAGUUUGUUAUAGAUCCCUGCAUGCACAGACAGUGAGCGGUCUAGAAUCCAGUUUGUUAUAGAUCCCUGCAUGCACAGACAGUGAGCGGUCUAGAAUCCAGUUUGUUAUAGAUCCCUGCAUGCACAGACAGUGAGCGGUCUAGAAUCCAGUUUGUUAUAGAUCCCUGCAUGCACAGACAGUGAGCGGUCUAGAAUCCAGUUUGUUAUAGAUCCCUGCAUGCACAGACAGUGAGCGGUCUAGAAUCCAGUUUGUUAUAGAUCCCUGCAUGCACAGACAGUGAGCGGUCUAGAAUCCAGUUUGUUAUAGAUCCCUGCAUGCACAGACAGUGAGUGGUCUAGAAUCCAGUUUGUUAUAGAUCCCUGCAUGCACAGACAGUGAGUGGUCUAGAAUCCAGUUUGUUAUAGAUCCCUGCAUGCACAGACAGUGAGUGGUCUAGAAUCCAGUUUGUUAUAGAUCCCUGCAUGCACAGACAGUGAGCGGUCUAGAAUCCAGUUUGUUAUAGAUCCCUGCAUGCACAGACAGUGAGCGGUCUAGAAUCCAGUUUGUUAUAGAUCCCUGCAUGCACAGACAGUGAGCGGUCUAGAAUCCAGUUUGUUAUAGAUCCCUGCAUGCACAGACAGUGAGCGGUCUAGAAUCCAGUUUGUUAUAGAUCCCUGCAUGCACAGACAGUGAGCGGUCUAGAAUCCAGUUUGUUAUAAAUCCCUGCAUGCACAGACAGUGAGCGGUCUAGAAUCCAGUUUGUUAUAGAUCCCUGCAUGCACAGACAGUGAGUGGUCUAGAAUCCAGUUUGUUAUAGAUCCCUGCAUGCACAGACAGUGAGCGGUCUAGAAUCCAGUUUGUUAUAGAUCCCUGCAUGCACAGACAGUGAGAGGUCUAGAAUCCAGUUUGUUAUAGAUCCCUGCAUGCACAGACAGUGAGCGGUCUAGAAUCCAGUUUGUUAUAGAUCCCUGCAUGCACAGACAGUGAGCGGUCUAGAAUCCAGUUUGUUAUAGAUCCCUGCAUGCACAGACAGUGAGCGGUCUAGAAUCCAGUUUGUUAUAGAUCCCUGCAUGCACAGACAGU